AAUUUUGGCCUUAAUCUCUAUUUUUAGCUAAAAUUACAUAAAUUGCUAAAAUAUAAUAUAAUUACAAUUAUUGUUUUUCCACAGAGCAACUAAAUUCAUCACAUACCCAUCAUCAAACACAUCAAAUCCAGAAGUUUUGUAUAAGAAAAUCAAAGAUUAAAUCAAAGCAAAUUGGAUUUUUGUAUAAAUACAUAUUUAAAUAGGAUCAAUGGAGGGUUGUGACUGGCGUGCAACAGCUGUCGAUGCCUGGCGGUGGUCGCCGGUGCUGGGGUCGUCGAAGAUGAGGUGGCAACCAAUGGUAGGUGUUGUUCUGAUGAUGUUUGGUUGUUAAAAGGAACUUUUAGAGAAGAAAAAUAAAGAAAAUUAGAGGAGAAACGAAAAUGGCAGAUCUGUA
rnacentral:lncRNA from 1 species